GUGUGAUACAGGGGAUGCUGCACCAUGAUGGAAGAGGAAGGAUUAGCACUUUCACCGUUGGCUAGUGGUAUCUACUAACACUCAUCCUGAUCUAUAUAUCACUGUGUCCCCAGGAGUCUGUUGCCUUCUGUUCUUCCACCUUGAGCCUCAAUUAGGGGCAGCAGCCAGGACAUGUAGAAGGGCUUUCAGAGCCUGCACAAAUCUUGUCUAGCUGAACAGAGGAAGAAAUGAGGAACAGAGUAAGAGAUACAGGUACCCUGCUGUUUUGGGAAGUGACUUCUCCACAUCCCAAGUCUCUUGUUUACUGAAACUGAGUAAAUACAUCAUAAAAGAAGGGAAAGUUCUAUUUGC